UGAAACGCCUGCCACAAAAGACAAAUGAAAUGGAAGGACGAGCCACUGAAUGUGACAGUGAUUUAUGUGAAUGGCAACGGAAUGGACAAAGAAGCAGCUACUUGGCCUCAAAAAGAAGAUGAAAGGCAUUGGAACUGCCAAAAAGAACCUCAAAAAAACGGAUAACCUGUCCAAGCAAGCAUUGUACACCCUCUGCUCUUUAACCCCCACCUGGACAUCCCUCCUGUCUCCUGACCCACCACAAGCUACCUCCUGUGACGCUGCAGCACAUGACUGGGAGAGGUCACCGAGCUUUGGGAGCAGGGCUGCGAGCAGACAUGCAAACUCACACAAACAUCAGAGCAAAUAGGAAACAAACCCGAAAGAUCUAAUACAG
rnacentral:lncRNA from 1 species